rnacentral:rRNA from 1 species
GACGAACGCUGGCGGCGUGCUUAACACAUGCAAGUCGAACGGUAAGGCUCCAGCUUGCUGGGGUACACGAGUGGCGAACGGGUGAGUAACACGUGGGUGACCUGCCCUGCACUUCGGGAUAAGCCUGGGAAACUGGGUCUAAUACCGGAUAGGACCGCACCGUGAGGGUGUGGUGGAAAGUUUUUUCGGUGUGGGAUGGGCCCGCGGCCUAUCAGCUUGUUGGUGGGGUAAUGGCCUACCAAGGCGGCGACGGGUAGCCGGCCUGAGAGGGUGGACGGCCACAUUGGGACUGAGACACGGCCCAGACUCCUUCGGGAGGCAGCAGUGGGGAAUAUUGCACAAUGGGCGGAAGCCUGAUGCAGCGACGCCGCGUGGGGGAUGACGGCCUUCGGGUUGUAAACUCCUUUCACCAUCGACGAAGGGUUUCUGACGGUAGAUGGAGAAGAAGCACCGGCUAACUACGUG